rnacentral:rRNA from 1 species
UACGGAGGGGGCUAGCGUUGUUCGGAAUUACUGGGCGUAAAGCGCGCGUAGGCGGACCUGCAAGUCGGGGGUGAAAGCCCGAGGCUCAACCUCGGAACUGCCUUCGAUACUGCGGGUCUCGAGUCCGGGAGAGGUGAGUGGAAUUCCUAGUGUAGAGGUGAAAUUCGUAGAUAUUAGGAAGAACACCAGUGGCGAAGGCGGCUCACUGGCCCGGUACUGACGCUGAGGAGCGAAAGGCGUAGGGGAGCGAACAGG